UGCAGCGUGGCCUAGUGGAAAAAGCACGGGACCUGGACCUGGGUUCAAAUCCCAGCUCUGCCA
rnacentral:tRNA from 1 species